rnacentral:rRNA from 1 species
UACGAGGGGGGCAAGCGUUGUUCGGAAUUACUGGGCGUAAAGCGCGCGCAGGCGGCUAUCCAAGUCAGUGGUGAAAGCCCGGAGCUCAACUCCGGAACUGCCAUUGAAACUGUUUAGCUUGAGGAUGAGAGAGGUGAGUGGAAUUCCCAGUGUAGAGGUGAAAUUCGUAGAUAUUCGGAAGAACACCAGUGGCGAAGGCGACUCACUGGACACGUAUUGACGCUGAGGUGCGAAAGCGUGGGGAGCAAACAGG